CUACGGGACGCUCCAGUGAGGAAUCUUCCACAAUGGACGAAAGUCUGAUGGAGCGACACCGCGUGAAGGAUGAAGCUUUUAUUAGUGUAAACUUCUUUUAUCAGGGAAGAUAAUGACGGUACCUGAGGAAUAAAGGACGGCCAACUACGUGCCAGCAGCCGCGGUAAUACGUAGGUCCCAAGCGUUAUCCGGAAUUACUGGGCGUAAAGCGUUUGUAGGCGGAAUAGUAAGUUAGGUAUGAAAGACCGGGGCUCAACCCCGUGUUUGUGCUUAAAACUGCUAUUCUAGAAUAAGUUAGAGGUAAGCGGAAUUGUGUGAGUAGGGGUGCAAUCCGUUGAUACACACAAGAACACCAAAAGCGAAGGCAGCUUACUGGGACUUUAUUGACGCUGAGAAACGAAAGCGUGGGGAGCGAAAAGGAUUAGAUACCCUUGUAGUC
rnacentral:rRNA from 1 species